GGGCUCUGCACCUGGCGGGACGAGCAGCACAGGUAUCGGCAGCAGACGGUACCCUGUCCUAGAAGCAACCUUACUCCAAGUGGAAUGAUUCUUGUGGUGUGAGGAUGCUGUGGAAGUGUGUUCAUGGAGAACCUCAAGAACCUCAAGCAGGAAUUCUAUGAGAGCAUCGAUUGGCACAGUCCUCGUCUCCUCGAGUUAUUUCGAUCCAAGAGAGGUGUUGGACAGUUGUUGACACAUAUUUCACAACAGACCAAUACUACAGAGCCAACUGCCAUCCAGACACAGGUGCUCAGAGGGCUUCCUAUCAUCCUUGGGGACAAACUCACAAACUUCUUCAAAUAAAAGCAGGCUUUGAAUCGGAUGAUGAUGAUUCUUCUCGUGACCUUGACAUUGGGAUACUUCUCAUUGAGUGUGAAGGUGCUGGGCUCACAUCUUCCCAGCAUCUCAGUCCAGCCUUGUUGAAAAUCAUCAUUGAGGGAGAAGUCGUGAUGGACAACAUUCAAGAUCUGCCAAAAGCAUUGGGCAUUCUGUUUGGACUCACGUAUGCACUCCAUCUUAACAACCCCAAGACUAUGGAGCUCACAUUUCAGGUCAUCCAACAGGUAUUGCUCUUGUUAGACCGCACUGACCUAAAGCCGAAGCUACAGACUUUGAAAAAUCAGCUCGCAAUGUACAUUUGAGUGGGGAUUUCUUGUCAAUUUUGUUUUGUAUAUGGAUUUACCACUUUAAUCUCAGGGGACAUCCAUGUUUUUUUCUUGUAAAUUUGUGACACAUUCAACACCCACACAAGAACAACACAAACACGGACAACACCCAC